CUAUUUCUGGGUUAGCAGAGUCUGUAACCUGAAGCGUAUGUAACCUGAAGCAUAUGUAACCCGAGGAACCACUAUAUUGGAACUUCAAAGGGAGAAUGCUACAUGAAACAGAUAAAUUAUGCCUCAUCAGUAAGUUCGGUGCUAUCACUUGUGGAUAGAAUGGACGCAAUGGAUUUUUAUCACACAAUACAGUGGUACCUCAGGUUACAUAUGCUUCAGGUUACAGACUCCGCUAACCCAGAAAUAG